rnacentral:rRNA from 1 species
AUUGAACGCUGGCGGCAGGCUUAACACAUGCAAGUCGAGCGGAGAGAGGUAGCUUGCUACCGAUCUUAGCGGCGGACGGUUGAGUAAUGUUUCGGAAUCUGCCUAUUAGUGGGGGACAACAUUUCGACAGGAAUGCUAAUACCGCAGACGUACUACUGGCGCAAGCAGGGGAUCUUCGUACCUUGCGCUAAUAGCUGAGCCUAAGUCGGAUUAGCUAGUGGGUGGGGUAAAGGCCUACCAAGGCGACGAUCUGUAUCGGGUCUGAGAGGAUGAUCCGCCACACUGGGACUGAGACACGGCCCAGACUCCUACGGGAGGCAGCAGGGGGGAAUAUUGGACAAUGGGCGCAAGCCUGAUCCAGCCAUGCCGCGUGUGUGAAGAAGGCCUUAUGGUUGUAAAGCACUUUAAGCGAGGAGGAGGCUACUUUAGUUAAUACCUAGAGAUAGUGGACGUUACUCGCAGAAUAAGCACCGGCUAACUCUGUGCCAGCCGCCGCAGUAAGAC